rnacentral:rRNA from 1 species
UACAGAGGGUGCGAGCGUUAAUCGGAUUUACUGGGCGUAAAGGGCGCGCAGGCGGCGGAUCAAGUCAGGCGUGAAAGCCCCGGGCUCAACCUGGGAACGGCGCCUGGGACUGGUUUGCUAGAGAUCGGGAGAGGAGCGUGGAAUUCCCAGUGUAGAGGUGAAAUUCGUAGAUAUUGGGAAGAACACCGGUGGCGAAGGCGGCGCUCUGGACCGAGACUGACGCUGAGGCGCGAAAGCGUGGGGAGCAAACAGG